rnacentral:tRNA from 1 species
CGCGGGGUGGAGCAGUUGGCAGCUCGUCGGGCUCAUAACCCGAAGGUCGGAGGUUCGAGUCCUCCCCCCGCUA